ACCUUGUUUGUAAACUAGAGUUCGUAUAUAGAAUGCUGUUAUAUGAAUGAUGUUUCAAAAGACUACUUGUAGAGUUUUCUGAAAUAAAUGUGAAACCUUAACCUGAAUUUUAGACCCAUGGCUAACAUUAAUCAACCAAAAUGAACAGGGGAGAGAGGUAGUUGAUAUUAAAUUCUGAAAUUAUCGCUUGGUCAAUACCAGCAAUAAAAAAAAUGUAUUAUCACGUCCACGUUCACUCUUGCAAGUUCGAAUCCCGUGGGAGUAAUGGUCCCAUGUUAUGACUUGUAGCCACGUAACCACGAUGAUGAUGAAGAAGGCCUUUUGCAGUUUACUAUUUAGAAUACGGUAAUAUCCAUAAACAUACUGUAUUAAAUUAAGAUGCUUUUGUAACUAUUGUUUGCAUAUUCAGAAUGCGAAGCUGGCAAAUAUGGCGCUGACUGUCUACAAGAUUGUCAUUGUAAUGCUACUGAGUGUAAUCGUUGGACCGGCUGUGAUACUGGAGCAACAUGUAACCCUGGUUACACAGGCAGAAGAUGUAUAGAAUGUGAAGCUGGCAAGUAUGGCGCUGAUUGUCUACAAGAUUGUCAUUGUAAUGUUACUGAGUGCGAUCCUUCCAGAGGAUGUGAUGUGAACGCAACAUGCCACCCUGGUUACGUAGGCCAAAGAUGCUUAGAUAAAGAUACCAGCAAACAUUCGAAUGAUACGACCUCUGGUGUGGGAACAACUAAUGGUAACGUACUUAUAGUGUCAAAUUAACAUGGACCUGUAAUAAUAAUUAUAGCUCCAUGAUAGUUUGGUAAAGUGUAUCAGUCAAUCGCAAGCCUUGUCGGUGAAUAUGAUGAAGAAUGGUUUAGGUCAGUUUUAUUUAAGAUACAUAUGGACCAUGGAGGAAAUAUAUUAAGAUAUAGUUCCUCCAUGAUAUAACCCCUUGUUUUACAGCAUUACUAGAUUAAUUGAAUUUUUGAAAAGUAGUUUUUGGAGAUUUUUCAGAUUGCAAUCGUCCAGAUUUAUUUUGAAAAGGACACUGCGAGUCUUGCAACAUACUGUACAUCAUUGGAUCUAUGGCUUCCGACGCAGUCUUCCAAAAAUGCAGGCGCUACUCUCAACAACUUUUACGAUGGAAAAUUGUUUCUGGACAACAUGACGGAUGCAUUCAAUCUGGAUAACGAGUAGAUGAACUGAAAAAGCACAUGACGAGAAUUAUACUCACGUUUAAAAAGUAAUUGCUUUGAAUUAUUAACAAUAAUUUUUGUUAAAGAUGUUAGAGCCAAUAAUAAUUAAGCAUAUUUGCAGUGUAGGUGUUUCUCCAUAGCGAAGUUACUAUCACGUGAUUUACUAUUAUCCAUUGUGUAUUACGCAAUACCGUCAGAAAAAAACUUGUACUAAUGGGAAAAUCCAAGGGUGAAUACCACUUAGCCUCAUAGCUGAAUUGGUAGAUUAUCUUAACAGUAAUCGGAAGGUCUUGAGUUUAAAUCCCGAUAGUAACAAUAUGUUUUUCUCAAAUAUUUAUUAUAUUUUCAAACAAAAAUGUCUAAAAUUCUAUUGAUGAACCGUACAGAACGAAUCUGGACAUUGUGCCAGUGUCACAUUAAUAUCGUCCCCAAAUCCUUUCAAAGGAGUUUCAAAUUUUGAACAACUGAACAGAGGCAUCAACAUCGACCUCGAUUUAUUGAUAUAAUUAUGGAGAUAAUACUUACAUUACGCUCAUAUACAUAAUAUGUAUUAUACGAUUAGGUAUAUAGUUUGUUUGUUAUUAUAAAAACAUAGAAUGAGUCUGUUGCAGAGUAUCAUGUUGCUAUUAUCAACCACAUUCGUAUUGUAUCAUG